UUCUCUUUAUUGGAGGAGGGCGGGGGGGGCAAAUGCUAUAUAAACCUUGGGAACUGGAUAGUGGCUUUUGGGGUGAGUGUACAUUAUUGGUUGGGGCAUUCCUGGAAUGCCUCAUUUGCAUGAAGAGGAGGUCCAGAUGCUUGCUGGACAUGUCCUUAUAAGGAGACAGGAAGUUUAACUCCUGAUCUGGCCACCAGGCUAUGCGACUGCCUCAAAGGUGGCAGAGGUGGGGAUCCUAAGGCUUAUUGGCACCAGCACAUGCAGGCCCAGAGCAAGGGGGCAAUAGUUCGCUCCUGCAGGCAUCAGGAGGAGAUUUUCGGAGCUUGGACGUGUCUUGAUCUCACAUUUCCUCUGGACUGGCUCCCCCAGUCAAACAGCCUUCCAGCCCCACAGGGAAGCAGCUGACCCAUAAUCUAGAGACCCAGGUCCAAGGCCUGAUUUUGCCACUGCAGUAGCCAGUCCAGGGUCUCAGCCUCUUUGUGCUUCUGUGGUCUCACCUGGAAACUUGGAGUGGCAGGGCUGGCCCGCCCGCAGGCACACCGCUCUCACCUUGGUGUUCCGUGUACAUAGUAGCCCUUAGGAGCAGGUAACAGAAGCUCUUGCUUCCAACACAGGGUAGGGUGAGGUCAAUGCAUCGAGUAUGCCACGUGAUACACAAUAGAAAGUCCACUUUGCCUCCCUCUGCUAUUGGUCUAGGAACACACACCACCAUGCCCUCCAAAAAGGACUGGGGCAUUCUGGGAAUGCCUCAUUUGUCUUCCUUCACAACCAUUCCAUGGAGCAAUGGAGAGCUUGCUCCAUUGCUGAGAGCAGAAAUCCCAUCUGCAUCCUGCAGGGGGCGUGCUGAGACCAGGGGCUGUUUCCCUGAGUUAAAUGAGCUCUCCCGGAUCACAGCCUGGGACCCUCCUUCUGCUCUGCCAGAGCCUCAUUUCUCUUCUCUGAUCUCUGCUUCCCACUCACUGUGUGAAUGGAAUCAGGGUCUGCCUGUCUGCACCCCCCUCCUCCUCUGCCCCUGUGUGCCUUGCAGCCUGCUAGCUACAAGCUUGUUCUUUGAUGAUGAAAAGAGACUUGGUUCCGGAGACAGAGGAAUCCUACCUACAGAAUGGAAACCACUUUUUAUCAAGACGCAAAUGGGGGCGCUCUGUGCCAUUUCCGUAGACAGCGGAGUGUGGAGAGACAGCUCGCUCAGGUUUCCCAAGAACCAGUGAGGGCGUGGGUUCUUGAGUUUCUGCCUGGCGCCAAAGCUGUCGAAGUCACCCUAGCAACCUGAGAGAAUAACCUUUACAAAAUUCCUCUGCGGGUCAAGUUCGUUGGUAGCUAAGAAUGUUACUCAACAAUUUUGGGGGGGGGUAGGAAGAGGGGACCCAGGCUGCAGUCAGAAAAACAUGUCUGGUUAUGGCUUAAGUGGGAGAGUUCCCAUACCCACGGUUGGCAAUAGCCUUCUCAAGCACUUUGACAGCCCACUUUUGCUGCUCAGCUUUGCCUACCUGCAGUGAAAGCGAAGGACCCCAGGGCCUUCCUGUCUCAGCGUAACAAGAACCAUCUAGGACUCAAAGAUAGACCCCAGUGGCUUUCCAGGACACUUUCUGUUCAUUAUCAUCAUCAUCACCACCACCAUCAUCAUCACCAUCAUCGUCGUCCUCAUCACCACCCCCGCCGCCUCGUGGUCAUCAUCGUCGUCGUCGACAUCAUCAUCAUCAUCAUUUUGCAGUACUAGAAAUCGGACCAGGACCUCAUGUAUACUAUGGAACAUUAAAACCAUUGACCACAUCCUAGUCCUGUGUGAAGGUGACAAGACCCCGCCCCCAUACAGCUUCUAUUUCAGUAAAAGAGACAGUCCUAACUAAAUAAUUGUUCAAAACAUUAGUCAGGCCAGGCGCGGUGUCCCAGGUCUGAGGUCCCAGAACUUGAGAGGAAGUAGAGAAUUAUCUAGUCUGGAGGGUCUCACAGAGGUCUGACCCUCCCCCUGGGGCUGGAAUCACCGUGACCAUGACAACAGGGCGUGGCAUAUGGCCGGGGAGCUGGAAGGAGGGACGUCAGGGCCUCUCUGCUUCCUCAGCGCACAGCAUCCCCAGACAUUUCUUUUCUUGACAGACAAAGCUGUCCUGAGGCCUUCAGGGGAGAUCAUUUCAGCGCAACGAUUUCUUUUUACAUAUGUCUAUUGACUUUCCCACACAUUCCGUUAGGAUUUUCCGAUAUAAAGCUCACGGAAGACUGCAGCAGUGGUCAGACAUCACUGAGAGUCUCAGGAUUUUCACCCAGACUUCCAUUCUGCUUGACCAUCCUGUCAUGCAAUGAGGACCUCUUGCUGUAGAAGUAAAAGGAGAGAGGCUAGGAGAAGAGGUGCUUCUCUCCUGAUGCCCCCUGUGGGCAGUGAUCAUAGUGGAUCCGGCUGCCUCCUACUGUGAUAGGCCCUCUGCCUUAGUGGAGGGAAGAGAAUAUUGUUUGUUUGUUUGUUUGUUUGUUUGUUUGUUUGUUUCUCAAGACAAGGUUUCUCUAUGUAGCCCUGGCUGCCCUGGAACUUGAUCUGUAGACCAGGCUGGCCCGGAACUCAGAGAUCCACCUGCCUCUGCCUCCCAAGUGUUGUGAUUAAAGGGGUGUGCCACCAUA